rnacentral:rRNA from 1 species
UCCUAUCGCGGUGCUCUUCAAUGAGUGUCGAGGUGGGCCGACAAUUUUACUUUGAACAAAUUAGAGUGCUCAAAGCGGGCUCAAAAUGCUGCUUGAAUAUUUCGUGCAUGGAAUAAUAGAAUAUGAUCUCGGUUCUAUUUUGUUGGUUUUCAGAACUCCGAGGUAAUGAUUAAUAGGGAUAACUGGGGGCAUUCGUAUUGCGACGUUAGAGGUGAAAUUCUUGGAUCGUCGCAAGACGAACAUCAGCGAAAGCAUUUGCCAAAGUGUUUUCAUCAAUCAAGAACGAAAGUUAGAGGUUCGAAGGCGAUUAGAUACCGCCCUAGUUCUAACCGUAAAUAUGUCAUCUAGCGAUCCGCCGACGUUACUACAAUGGCUCGGCGGGCAGCUUCCGGGAAACCAAAGAUUUUGGACUCCGGGGGAGUAUGGUUGCAAGCUGAAACUUAAAGGAAUUGACGGAAGGGCACCACCAGGAGUGGAGCCUGCGGCUUAAUUUGACUCAACACGGGAAUCUCACCAGGCCCGGACACCGGAAGGAUUGACAGAUUAACAGCUCUUUCUUGAUUCGGUGGGUGGUGGUGCAUGGCCGUUCUUAGUUGGUGGAGCGAUUUGUCUGGUUAAUUCCGGUAACGAACGAGACUCUAGCCUGCUAAAUAGGCGUCGUCAUUUAGGUGUGCGUGGCUCCGUCACGCAACUCACUGGCGACGUAUUAAAAUUCUUCUUAGAGGGACCGGCGGCUUCGAGCCGCACGAGAUUGAGCAAUAACAGGUCUGUGAUGCCCUUAGAUGUCCUGGGCCGCACGCGCGCUACACUGAAGGAAUCAGCAUGUUCUCCUGGCCUAGAGGCCCGGGCAACCCGCUGAAACUCCUUCGUGCUGGGGAUUGGGGUUUGCAAUUAUCCCCCAUAAACGAGGAAUUCCUAGUAAGCGCGAGUCAUAAGCUCGCGUUGAUUACGUCCCUGCCCUUUGUACACACCGCCCGUCGCUACUACCGAUUGAAUGAUUUAGUGAGGUCUUCGGACCGACACGCGGUGGCUUCACGGCCGUCGGCGUUGCUGGGAAGUUGACCAAACUUGAUCAUUUAGAGGAAGUAAAAGUCGUAACAAGGUUUCCGUAGGGGAACCUGCGGAAG